rnacentral:rRNA from 1 species
AAAUUGAAGAGUUUGAUCAUGGCUCAGAUUGAACGCUGGCGGCAGGCCUAACACAUGCAAGUCGAGCGGUAGCACAGAGAGCUUGCUCUCGGGUGACGAGCGGCGGACGGGUGAGUAAUGUCUGGGAAACUGCCUGAUGGAGGGGGAUAACUACUGGAAACGGUAGCUAAUACCGCAUAAUGUCGCAAGACCAAAGUGGGGGACCUUCGGGCCUCAUGCCAUCAGAUGUGCCCAGAUGGGAUUAGCUAGUAGGUGGGGUAACGGCUCACCUAGGCGACGAUCCCUAGCUGGUCUGAGAGGAUGACCAGCCACACUGGAACUGAGACACGGUCCAGACUCCUACGGGAGGCAGCAGUGGGGAAUAUUGCACAAUGGGCGCAAGCCUGAUGCAGCCAUGCCGCGUGUGUGAAGAAGGCCUUCGGGUUGUAAAGCACUUUCAGCGGGGAGGAAGGCGGUGAGGUUAAUAACCUCACCGAUUGACGUUACCCGCAGAAGAAGCACCGGCUAACUCCGUGCCAGCAGCCGCGGUAAUACGGAGGGUGCAAGCGUUAAUCGGAAUUACUGGGCGUAAAGCGCACGCAGGCGGUCUGUCAAGUCGGAUGUGAAAUCCCCGGGCUUAACCUGGGAACUGCAUUCGAAACUGGCAGGCUAGAGUCUUGUAGAGGGGGGUAGAAUUCCAGGUGUAGCGGUGAAAUGCGUAGAGAUCUGGAGGAAUACCGGUGGCGAAGGCGGCCCCCUGGACAAAGACUGACGCUCAGGUGCGAAAGCGUGGGGAGCAAACAGGAUUAGAUACCCUGGUAGUCCACGCCGUAAACGAUGUCGAUUUGGAGGUUGUGCCCUUGAGGCGUGGCUUCCGGAGCUAACGCGUUAAAUCGACCGCCUGGGGAGUACGGCCGCAAGGUUAAAACUCAAAUGAAUUGACGGGGGCCCGCACAAGCGGUGGAGCAUGUGGUUUAAUUCGAUGCAACGCGAAGAACCUUACCUGGUCUUGACAUCCACAGAACUUUCCAGAGAUGGAUUGGUGCCUUCGGGAACUGUGAGACAGGUGCUGCAUGGCUGUCGUCAGCUCGUGUUGUGAAAUGUUGGGUUAAGUCCCGCAACGAGCGCAACCCUUAUCCUUUGUUGCCAGCGGUUCGGCCGGGAACUCAAAGGAGACUGCCAGUGAUAAACUGGAGGAAGGUGGGGAUGACGUCAAGUCAUCAUGGCCCUUACGACCAGGGCUACACACGUGCUACAAUGGCAUAUACAAAGAGAAGCGACCUCGCGAGAGCAAGCGGACCUCAUAAAGUAUGUCGUAGUCCGGAUUGGAGUCUGCAACUCGACUCCAUGAAGUCGGAAUCGCUAGUAAUCGUAGAUCAGAAUGCUACGGUGAAUACGUUCCCGGGCCUUGUACACACCGCCCGUCACACCAUGGGAGUGGGUUGCAAAAGAAGUAGGUAGCUUAACCUUCGGGAGGGCGCUUACCACUUUGUGAUUCAUGACUGGGGUGAAGUCGUAACAAGGUAACCGUAGGGGAACCUGCGGUUGGAUCACCUCCUUACCUUAAAGAA